AUUAUUUUUCUAAAAAAAAAAUAAAAAAUCUGUUCUUAUCAGUUUAAUAUCUGAUACGUCCCCCAUCGGGGGACUACAUAUUAAAUGGAUUUUUCGAACAGGGAGUCGGAAAUGGGGCUUGCUCCGUCCGCUCCACGCAUCGACCCGGUAUUGCAGUACCUCCGGGAACGGUGCAACACUU
rnacentral:snRNA from 13 species